AUGUACAGGUUGAAGAUCGUAAGUUAUCGGAAGCUGCAAGAAGAUGGAUGGCGAGUAAGUUUAUUGAGAAAACUAUGCACAGCUAAAAGAUCUUUCCUAAUUUGAAUACGAAGCGUCCUCAUGUCGGCUCAGUAGGAUCAACCCAUGCGCAAGAGGCGCAUGACAAGUGAAAAAUCACCGCGAUGUAAACACAAGUCGACAUACUUUUGUACUUACCCACGAUUUAUUUUGGAAAUGGAAGAUUUUAGCUCAAACUUUCUAUAAUGAUUGGUACUUAUUUAUGUAAUGGUUGGUUUGUCAAGUACCAAGUAGAGCUUGAUGGACUUUUGGGAUCUAUCGAUCGACAUACAGAUUCGAUGUUUUAAAUGUGGUUGGAGGUGAAAAAGAAGAAGAUGCAUACAUGGUGCUGAACAUUC
rnacentral:lncRNA from 1 species